rnacentral:rRNA from 1 species
GCGGAGGAAAAGAAACCAACAGGGAUUGCCUUAGUAGCGGCGAGUGAAGCGGCAAAAGCUCAAAUUUGAAAUCUGGCUCUUUCAGAGUCCGAGUUGUAAUUUGAAGAAGGUAUCUUUGGGUCUGGCUCUUGUCUAUGUUUCUUGGAACAGAACGUCACAGAGGGUGAGAAUCCCGUGCGAUGAGAUGAUCCAGGCCUAUGUAAAGUUCCUUCGAAGAGUCGAGUUGUUUGGGAAUGCAGCUCUAAGUGGGUGGUAAAUUCCAUCUAAAGCUAAAUAUUGGCGAGAGACCGAUAGCGAACAAGUACAGUGAUGGAAAGAUGAAAAGAACUUUGAAAAGAGAGUGAAAAAGUACGUGAAAUUGUUGAAAGGGAAGGGCUUGAGAUCAGACUUGGUAUUUUGUAUGUUACUUCUUCGGGGGUGGCCUCUACAGUUUAUCGGGCCAGCAUCAGUUUGGGCGGUAGGAGAAUUGCGUUGGAAUGUGGCACGGCUUCGGUUGUGUGUUAUAGCCUUCGUCGAUACUGCCAGCCUAGACUGAGGACUGCGGUUUAUACCUAGGAUGUUGGCAUAAUGAUCUUAAGUCGCCCGUC